AUGCGUAAGCAAACCGGAAGUGGGCCGUCAUGGAGGCCCGGUGGUGCUGUGUGCUCUGUUCCGGUUCCUGUUGCAGACUGGAGGCGGGACUACGUUGCCAGGGCGACCUGGUGGGCUGCCAGGCUGAGCAGAGGCAGCAAAGGUGUUUGGGCAGGGAGGAUGGUGGGCGCCGUGUUUGCGGGCAGAUUCAUCGAGGUGCUGCAGGAAACGGAUGGGGAGGUGCCGCGGAAGAGGUGGAAGCCAGCCGGGUGCUUUUGGAGGAGCCCUAGGUACACUCAGAUGGCGGUCGUGGGGAGGAGAGGAAGGGACGACCUGGAGGCUCUUCAUAUUCCUGCUCCUGUGGACUUCAGUGAUGAGGUGGCCCCAUGUCCCACCACCUCUGUUCCAAGCCUGAUGUGCUUCUUGGAUGGACAUGGACUCCAAGCAGCGAGAGGGAGGAAGUGAGGGAGGAAGAGCGUGACGAUCUCCGGUUUCCUGGUGGUACUCCGGGCUCCACGGGGGCUUAAUUUUACCAAUUAGUCAUUCAUUCCACAUAUUAGUCAGAAGUCUUGGUGUUACAAGUGACAAACAAUUUGAACUGGACUGGGAGAAUUGGGCACUUAACUGACUCACAGAGCCUGGUCACAGGAUGGGCGGGGUGGCAGCUGAGCUGCAGGCGUGACGGACAAGGCUCCAAAUGCCACUGGCUGUGGCCCUUUCCCCACUGCCUCAGCCUUUCAGGCAGGCUCUGUCCACACAGCUGGGGACACACCUGCCAUCGACUAUCAAGCCCUCCAUUUUCAGCCCCACCUUGCAAUAGGAGCAAGGAGACAGGGGUCUGGGGUUCUGGAAAGAGCUCUGAGUGGCCCAGCCUGGUUAGUUGUCCAUCCCUGGACCAGAGCCCUUGGCCCUUUUAGAUGUCUACCUAUGUCCAAUCUGGGAUGAGGGGGGAUAGGUUUUUAAAGAUGUGAGAUCUCCCUCCAACUAUAAUGUUGGAUUGAACAAAGGGGCAUUUUCCAGAAAACAGUGGAGGAGAUGGUGGGCAGGAAGAUGAACCCCACAGGUGUGUGGGUGAGUGGUUGGAAGGAUGUGUGUCUUCUCAGCCUCAGGCCCCGAGUUGGCAGCUGCAGUAGGCCGAGAGAGGUAAGCAUGGAAAACCCCAGUCUUCCCGGAGUUCACAGUCUAGAAAGCAGGCUAAGACAUGCCAUAGAUGUCACUGAAGCUAGGUAGGAAUUUCUGCAGGUCACAGCGGGAGGUAGAGCAGGAGGAUCACAAAGAAAACCUAGGUUCUUCCGGCCAGGCUCACUGAAGUGCCCCCCAGCCAACUUGUGACCACUUACAUAUUCCAUAACAUGCCUGCGCUCAACAGAGUUGGCCACGUGGAAUGCCCAGUAUUCACCCUUACUCCAGGUCAGCCAGUCACUCUCAAAGCUGUUCGUAAAGCUCCCUGAGAAAAAGCACGUACAUCGUGUCUAGUGGCUGUCCCCAGCUUGCCCACAUGGCCACGUGAAGGACUUUCUCCCUGUACCAACUCGGGCUCGUCCAGCCUUUGCAGAAUAAUCUCACGGAGGAAUAUUAGUCUGCCUUGUGCCUUCUGUUUGCUUCCUCUGGAUCCCUUCAUGUCCUGUCCUGUGAUUUCCUUGACCUUCUCCCUGGGACUCCGUGCUACCCCACGCUGUGGCUUCCAGAGCUUUCUAAAGAAAUGGACAAUCAUGGCAAAUCCUCCUGAGCCAUUUGGCCUUGUCACUGUGGACACACUUGUCUCCAUUUUUCUGUCCGAGUGGUGUGAGCUGGUGCCUGGUGGCACGGAGGACAGCAGGCAGAUGUCAUCGGGCUCCUUGAUUAUUUCUAUCUUUUCCACGUGGUUCUCUGGUCCAGGUCUUCCAUUUUAAGUCUGGCGAGGAGGGGAGAGGAAGAAUUUGAGAGACGGAUGGCUUCAGGAGCUCUGUGCAGGAGUAUGGCCUCCCUGUGACCCCUGUGUCCCAUUCCGUUGGCAAUGGGAAUGAAUGCUGGUACCCUCCCCGACACACACACCGCACCAACCUUUGCAGAAAUUCAGUAAACCAGGUUUAAAGUUGUCGGCUAUUGUCUCUGUCCUCUCCAAACAGGCAUGACCUUUCUCUGGGCCUGUCCCUCCAAGAGCGUCUUUUUAGCCCCUGGCUUUAUUAUGCUUGUUUCUCACGCUUGGCCACAACAUGUGUCCAGGAAGUGCCCUAUCCCCAUGCAUGAAGUUAACAAGGGAUGGAGCUCAACUCUUUUUUUUUUUUUUUAAAGAUUUUAUUUAUUUAUUUGGCAGACAGAGAUCACAAGUAGGCAGAGAGGAGGAAGCAGGCUCCCCACCAGGCAGAGAGCCUGAUGUGCGGCUCGAUCCCAGGACCCUGGGAUCAUGACCUGAGCCAAAGGCAGAGGCUUUAACUCACUGAGCCACCCAGGCGCCCCUCGAGCUCAACUCUUCAUGUAAAACAGAGGGGUGAAGUAGGAGAAAGUCCAUCCUGCCACUGUCCCAUCGUACUGUUGGGUUUGGGGAAUGGUGAUUAAGGACACCCCUUAGACUCCCUUCAAAUUCAAGAAUACAUUGAAAAACAACCAGUGAGGAUUUGGGGUGUUUACUUGUUUUGGAAAGGUGAGUAGAGAAUGUGGUUUAGGUCUGUGUGCUGAAUACAUCCCUCACCUGAAUUAAGGCCUCCUCCCUCGUCUCAGACCAGUCUGGACAGCCACAGGCCUUCCCCGAAAGCAGGCCAGUUUUUGAAGACCAGCAGAGAGACACAAGUGUCCUUGGGAUGCUCCUAAAAGUGUGGAAAGGCCACAGCACACAUACUAAGCUCCCUGUCACACCUUAUCUUGACCGCGGCGUCCCUGGAGUGGGGGCCUGCUCUGUGCUCUGUGCUCAUACCUGUACAGGCCUGUCCACCAUGACUCUUCUCCGUUCUGAGGUCCCUGAGUUCUGCAGACUCAGGGUGCUCCCUUCGUAUGGAGGAAAGAACCAGGCUUUGGGCCAUGAGUUCAUCCCUUCCUGGUGUCCUUGGACAAAGUCAUCCAGCCACGGUGGUCCUCCCCUCUCUCCGUUCUAGAACAGGGUGUCAUCAAACUGGCCUGCCCCUGGGCUAAGCUGACCUCAAUUACUUACUAAAUUGUUCGAAUUCUUAUGUGAGGAGAAUUCUUGCUGGAGGUGAUUUGGAGAUCAAGUGGGAGGAUUUAUCCAACUUGAAAAGGGUUCUGAGUGUUCCUUUAGGACACUGAGGAUCAGGAGAGGUAAGCACCUUGCCCAGGGCCUCUGCCCAGGUCCCAUCUCCCUAAACCAGCUCCUGCCAACCAAGCAGCUUUCUCGAUGCUUCUCUGCUCUCUCGAGACUUUGGGCUCAUCCCAGGAGCUUAGAAGCAGGUUCAGCUGUGGCUAAUAACCUCCAUCUGCGUCCCCCCGGCAUCCUGCCCACACCGAGAAACAUUCAGCCAGUACUUGUCGGCUGCCUGGGUCCCAGGCACUUUUCCUGCUUUAAAUUCUAAAAACCAGCUAAGAUUUAAGGCCAUGAAAGUCUCGAAGGGGAGCCAGAAAACCUGAGCAUGGGCAGUGGUCUGGCCAUUUCCUGUGAGUUGUUAUAUGAGUCUGAGCUGUUCCCCUGGCCCCCACCGGCCGCUGCUGGCAUAGGACUUUCGGAGCAGAAAAAUGCCUCUGAGCAGGUUAGUAAGUCAUUAAUGCAUACAUGCAAUCAAACAAACUUCUCCCUAAUGUCUGAGACAAGGAUGGUGAGCAGAGAGGCAAAGUUUUGGUUGGGUUUGGUUUGGUUCUUAACGAAAAAGAGGCAGCGGGCCAUCAGCCCACUGAGGGUCUCGGGGCUACUUGAAAACCAGACCCCAUUAGUCCUGGGCGGGGCCGGGGGUGAUGGGGAGGUAUGGAAGCCGGGCACCGGGAGUGGCCUCCUCUACUUAAAACAUUUUCCCUCCAACCCUCUCUGCACUCAGGAAUGGGUGAGAAAACGGUCCUUUUGACCAGUUCAACGGGCUUUUGUGGGCUCGCCUGAAAACCUACAUGUAUUCUCGUGACCAAAUGUGCUCGUGGUUUCCGGCACCUGAUUACUGUGUUGGUUUUGGUUGAUAUAUUUGCCUUUCUCCUUCUCUUCCAUGCCCCCUUCCCUUUCUCGGUUUCUACACGGUCUCUCCCCUUUCUCUGUCUCUCCCUUCAUGUUCCCUCUCUCUGCUUUUACUUCCUCCCUUCCUCUCUGCUCUAUCUGCCUGUUCUCUUGUCCUUACCCCAGUAGCUCACAAGCCAUUUCAGCGGACUCUCAGAAACAGAAAUUAGGAAAACAUCAAUAAAACAUAAAAGAUUCCAAAGAGAGCGCCUGGAUGGCUCAGUGGGUUAGGCAUCUGCCUUCGGCUCAGGUCAUGAUCUCGGGGUCCUGGGAUCGAGCCCCACAUCGGGCUCCCUGCUCAGCAGGAAGCCUGCUUCUCCCUCUGCCUCUCCCCUCUUCUUGCGUGCCACGCUCUCUCUCUCCCAAAUAAGUAAAUGAAUUCUUUAAAAAAAAGUUUUUAAAAGUCAAACAUGACUUAGAAGAUCUUUCUAGGGAUUUGUGGUUCGUUUUUCAAUGUUCAGUGACAGAUACUCACAGCUGUACCGCUGUGUGUCAGGGAAGUCCUUCUGGCUUCAUGAUUGCCUCGUACAAAAGUCAGUUCAGAGGAGGCACAUGUUGGAAGAGACAUGCAAGCAGGUGGCUGCUAGAAUCGCCAAGGCCAGUGGGAGUAGAAGUGGACAUUCGACUCUCAGAACAGAGUUCUGAGCCUGAAUUUGGUGGCCUUCAAAGUGACCUGUAGGUAAACCAUUUUAAGUAGCUUACAAACUGUGAACAUUGGGUUUAAAAUAUUUUCACGAGUUGGGGCUCCUGGGUGGCUCAGUGGGUUAAAGCCUCUGCCUUUAGCUCAGGUCAUGAUCCCAGGGUCCUGGGAUGGAGCCCUGCAUCGUGUUCUCUGCUCAGCCGGGAGCCUGCUUCCCCUUCUCUGCCUGCCUCUCUGCCUACUUGUGAUCUCUGUCUGUCAAAUAAAUAAAAUCUUUAAAAAAUAUAUUUUCAUGAGUUAUCCC
ensembl:lincRNA